CCUACGGGUGGCUGCAGUAACGAAUCUUCCGCAAUGCACGAAAGUGUGACGGAGCGACGCCGCGUGUAGGACGAAGCCCUUCGGGGUGUAAACUACUGUCAGGGGAAAGAUCUACCCCAGAGGAAGAGACGGCUAACUCUGUGCCAGCAGCCGCGGUAAGACAGAGGUCUCGAGCGUUAGGCGGAAUCACUGGGCUUAAAGCGUGUGUAGGUGGAUUUGUAAGUACCUUGUGAAAUCCCACGGCUUAACCGUGGAACUGCUUGGUAUACUGCUUAUCUUGGGCCAUCUAGGGGUUACCGGAACAAACGGUGGAGCGGUGAAAUGCGUAGAUAUCGUUUGGAACGCCAAUGGUGAAAACAGGUAACUGGGAGUGCCGACACUGAGACACGAAAGCCAGGGGAGCGAACGGGAUUAGAUACCCUUGUAGUC
rnacentral:rRNA from 1 species